UACGUAGGGUCCGAGCGUUGUCCGGAAUUAUUGGGCGUAAAGGGCUCGUAGGCGGUCUGUUGCGUCGGGAGUGAAAACUUACAGCUUAACUGUGAGCGUGCUUCCGAUACGGGCAGACUUGAGGUAUUCAGGGGAGAACGGAAUUCCUGGUGUAGCGGUGAAAUGCGCAGAUAUCAGGAGGAACACCGGUGGCGAAGGCGGGUCUCUGGGCCGAUACUGACGCUGAGGAGCGAAAGCAUGGGUAGCGAACAGG
rnacentral:rRNA from 1 species